rnacentral:rRNA from 1 species
CCUACGGGAGGCAGCAGUGAGGAAUAUUGGUCAAUGGCCGAUAGGCUGAACCAGCCAAGUCGCGUGAAGGAUGACUGCCCUGAGGGUUGUAGACUUCUUUUAUCGGGGAAUAAAAGGCAGGACGGGUCCGGUUUUGCGUGUACCCUGUGAAAAAGGAUCGGCUAACUCCGUGCCAGCAGCCGCGGUAAUACGGAGGAUGCGAGCGUUAUCCGGAUUCAUUGGGUUUAAAGGGUGCGUAGGCGGGCCUUUAAGCCGGCGGUGAAAUCGCGGGGCUCAACCCCGGCCUGCCGGCGGAACUGGGGGCCUUGAGUGCGGCGGAGGUAUGCGGAAUGCGUGGUGUAGCGGUGAAAUGCAUAGAUAUCGCGCAGAACCCCGAUUGCGAAGGCAGCGUGCCGGGCCGCCACUGACGCUGAGGCACGAAAGUGCGGGGAUCGAACAGGAUUAGAUACCCUAGUAGUC